GUAGGUGGCGAGCGUUGUCCGGAAUUAUUGGGCGUAAAGCGCGCGCAGGCGGUCCUUUAAGUCUGAUGUGAAAGCCCACGGCUCAACCGUGGAGGGUCAUUGGAAACUGGGGGACUUGAGUACAGAAGAGGAAAGCGGAAUUCCAAGUGUAGCGGUGAAAUGCGUAGAGAUUUGGAGGAACACCAGUGGCGAAGGCGGCUUUCUGGUCUGUAACUGACGCUGAGGCGCGAAAGCGUGGGGAGCAAACAGGGAUUAGAUACCCUGGUAGUCCACGCCGUAAACGAUGAGUGCUAAGUGUUAGGGGGUUUCCCGCCCCUUAGUGCUGCAGCUAACGCAUUAAGCACUCCGCCUGGGGAUACGGCCGCAAGGCUG
rnacentral:rRNA from 1 species